CCUACGGGUGGCAGCAGUGAGGAAUAUUGGUCAAUGGGCGCGAGCCUGAACCAGCCAAGUAGCGUGAAUGAUGACUGCCCUACGGGUUGUAAACUUCUUUUAUGAAGGAAUAAAGUGAGGCGCGUGUGCCUUUUUGUAUGUACUUUAUGAGUAAGGAUCGGCUAACUCCGUGCCAGCGGCCGCGGUAAUACGGUGGUGCGAGUGUUAGCCGGAAUUAUUGGGUUUAAAGGGAGCGUAGAUGGGUUGUUAAGUCAGUUGUGAAAGUUUGCGGCUCAACCGUAAAAUUGCAAUUGAUACUGGCAGCCUUGAGUACAGUUGAGGUAGGCGGAAUUCGUGGUGUAGCGGUGAAAUGCUUAGAUAUCACGAAGAACUCCGAUUGCGAAGGCAGCCUACUAAACUGCGACUGACAUUGAUGCUCGAAAGUGUGGGUAUCAAACAGGAUUAGAUACCCUUGUAGUC
rnacentral:rRNA from 1 species